UACGAGGGGGGCAAGCGUUGUUCGGAUUUACUGGGCGUAAAGAGCGCGCAGGCGGUCGUUCAAGUCGCGUGUGAAAGCCCCCGGCUCAACUGGGGAGGGUCACGCGAUACUGAUCGACUCGAAGGCAGGAGAGGGAAGUGGAAUUCCCGGUGUAGUGGUGAAAUGCGUAGAUAUCGGGAGGAACACCAGUGGCGAAGGCGACUUCCUGGCCUGUUCUUGACGCUGAGGCGCGAAAGCUAGGGGAGCAAACGGGG
rnacentral:rRNA from 1 species